GGGCAACAUCUCUAUUGGCAGG
rnacentral:miRNA from 1 species